GACAUCCAGGGCUUUCCAUCAAUAUAUAAUAGUCCAUACUUUGGCCGAGUUUAAAUGACGUAAAUAGGCGUUGAACGCCAGUUCUACGCUGCAGUCUGGAGUUAAACGCCAGAAACACGUUACAAGCCAGAGUUGAACGCCAGAAAUAUGUUACAAACUGGCGUUCAACUCCAAGAAUGACCUCUCCACGUGGAAACUUCAAGCUCAACCCAAACACACACCAAGUGGGCCCCGG
rnacentral:lncRNA from 1 species